rnacentral:lncRNA from 1 species
GAGCUCCCUGGGCUUGCCUCCUCCUGCGUCCUGCUAGCUAUUUUUAAAUGUGACCAGUUUGAAAUUCAGCUAAACCAGCAGCUAUGGUCCCUCAUCCCCAACAACGAUGUGAGAAGGCUUGUUUCUCAUGUUAUCCGGACCUUGAAGACGGACUGCACUGAGACCCAUUUGCAACUGGCCUGUGCCAAGCUCAUCUCUAGGACAGGCCUCCUAAUGAAGCUUCUCAGUGAGCAGCAAGAAUUGAGAACUGUAUCAAUGACAGCAUGGAAGCCCAGAAUGAACAGAAAGAGCAGAAGUCGAAUGAGUCCAAUAGAUCCGCGGCAUAGUGGCACCCCCAACAGCAACAGAAUUGGGCUGUCAACGUGAAUGGAACAGACAAAAGUGUAGGACUUUGACAUGGACUGAGAUUCAAAUCUCAACCCUGCUACUGACUAGCUAUGUGAUCUUGUCUACGUUGUUUUACCUCUCAGACUUUCAGUUUCCUGAGGCUCCAAGGAAGAUGAUGGUCCUGAUAUGGAAGAAACUACUGAUGUCAGCUGAAGGACCACACUGAUGCAGCUGUCCUGAAGGACUCCCCGAGGAGCUACCUCAUCAAAAAAUACAGUUUCCACUUUGCGAUGAUUUUAUCCCCCUUGCCCCAACCGACCAGCAACCCCAAUUUUCCAGCCCCUCACUCUCCACAAUCCUCUUAAAGCCCCAGGCCAGAACUUCUUGGGAGACAGAUUUGAGGGUUUCCUUCCACUUCCUUGCUGGGUGGC